rnacentral:tRNA from 1 species
GGUGGGCGUAGCUCAGUUGGUAGAGCACAGGAUUGUGGCUCCUGGUGUCGUGGGUUCGAUUCCCAUCGUCCACCCCCA